GAUUGGUUGGACUGUUUUGCAAUCAUGUCAUUAUCCAGGUUGUAUUUCUACAGUUCUGUAACUGAAGGUGGACUUUUGACAACAUAAAUGAAAUUGUCACAUCCCAGUGUUUAGAUGAGUUUCAAAUUCUUCUGUAACUAAUGCGCAUUGUCAGAACAGUAAAUGGAUUAUCACUUCCUAUCCAAUUUGUGACUAUUCUAUUUUCGGCUAGAGCAGAUGAUUGACUAACCUGCAAUGCUCGAUUUGAGGUAAUCAAACACUAAAAGAACUCUGAUUUGAUUUUGGAGAACUGAGGUGGAUAGUUUUAUAUGACAUUGUUUAAAUUGCUGCAGAAAUUUUUACCUGUAACUUUUCAAAUCUCAAGAUGAUUUUUCAACUUUUUCAGUGAUGAAAUUGUUGAAUCGACGUUUAAUGUACCUUAUUUUGCGUUCACUGACCAACUUGAUUGACAUAAUGUUAACUAGGAUCUAUUAAUUUUGUGAUCAGACCCUAAGUGAUCAGCUACAUACAGUCUUUUGACAACAAGAGCAGAGGAGGCAAAACAUGGUGUGAUGAGGACCUUGUGGGCAGGCUUCUUUACCCAGCGAGGGUCGUCAGUCUAGCAGAGGUCCAUUCAGUGGUUAAGCUCGCCUUGAGAAGUUUGAUCCGCUCCAGGACAUGGAUGUCAUAGUCACUUCCAUUGAAAUCAACAAUGAAGCUAUAUAUGAUGCUGCCACACCAAUUCUAAAGCAAUAUUUGGGGCGCCAUGUGUGGACGGAAGAGGACAAGCCGAGAUAUACAUAAUUCCCCUACAUGGCAGGUCAAAGGAGAACCGGGUGCAAGGAUCAUGAAAGUCUCAUUUUUUUUAAAGGGUCAAAGCCAACAGUUGAAAGAUUUUGAAUCAAUGGCCAAAAGAACUGAUCAUAACAUAUUGAAUCUGUUGCCUACAUUGGCUUCUAUAUGCAUUUGUUUCCUUCCAAAGUCUCUUUGUAAGCUUGCGAAUCCUUCCAACUAUAGAGCGACUGUUAUCAGUUAGUUGUAAUCGAGAACAUCACACUGCAUUUCC